GUCAGCAUGGUGUAGAGGAUUGAGCUUUAGACUAUUACUCUGGAGACCAGGGUUCAAAUCCUUUUUGACC